GGGUUGUGAGGUUAAGCGACUAAGCGUACACGGUGGAUGCCCUGGCAGUCAGAGGCGAUGAAGGACGUGCUAAUCUGCGAAAAGCGCCGGCGAGGUGAUAUGAACCCUUGACCCGGCGAUGUCCGAAUGGGGAAACCCAGUGUGAUUCGUCACACUAUCGUUAACUGAAUACAUAGGUUAACGAGGCGAACCGGGGGAACUGAAACAUCUAAGUACCCCGAGGAAAAGAAAUCAACCGAGAUUCCCCCAGUAGCGGCGAGCGAACGGGGAGCAGC
rnacentral:rRNA from 1 species